rnacentral:rRNA from 1 species
ACCGAUAGCGAACAAGUACAGUGAUGGAAAGAUGAAAAGAACUUUGAAAAGAGAGUGAAACAGUACGUGAAAUUGUUGAAAGGGAAGGGGAGGGNAGAUGUUAAAGGGNCUCCNNNCUUCGUAGGGAUCCCCCCAAGAGUC